rnacentral:rRNA from 1 species
AGCAUAUCAAUAAGCGGAGGAAAAGAAACCAACAGGGAUUGCCCUAGUAACGGGGAGUGAAGCGGCAACAGCUCAAAUUUGAAAUCUGGCUCUUUUAGGGUCCGAGUUGUAAUUUGCAGAGGGCGCUUUGGCGUUGGCAGCGGUCCAAGUUCUUUGGAACAGGACGUCACAGAGGGUGAGAAUCCCGUACGUGGUCGCUAUCCUUCGCCGUGUAAAGCCCCUUCGACGAGUCGAGUUGUUUGGGAAUGCAGCUCUAAAUGGGAGGUAAAUUUCUUCUAAAGCUAAAUACUGGCCAGAGACCGAUAGCGCACAAGUAGAGUGAUCGAAAGAUGAAAAGCACUUUGGAAAGAGAGUCAAAUAGCACGUGAAAUUGUUGAAAGGGAAGCGCUUGCAGCCAGACUUGCCUGUAGUUGCUUAUCCGGACUUUUGUCCGGUGCACUCUUCUGCGGGCAGGCCAGCAUCAGUUUGGGCAGUUGGAUAAAGGUCUCUGUCAUGUACCUCUCUUCGGGGAGGCCUUAUAGGGGAGACGACAUGCAACUAGCCUGGACUGAGGUCCGCGCAUCUGCUAGGAUGCUGGCGUAAUGGCUGUAAGCGGCCCGUCUUGAAACACGGACCAAGGAGUCUAACAUCUAUGCGAGUGUUUGGGUGUCAAGCCCAGACGCGUAAUGAAAGUGAACGGAGGUGGGAACCCUUUGGGUGCACCAUCGACCGAUCCUGAUGUUUUCGGAAGGAUUUGAGUAAGAGCAUGGCUGUUGGGACCCGAAAGAUGGUGAACUAUGCUUGAAUAGGGUGAAGCCAGAGGAAACUCUGGUGGAGGCUCGCAGCGGUUCUGACGUGCAAAUCGAUCGUCAAAUUUGGGCAUAGGGGCGAAAGACUAAUCGAACUAUCUAGUAGCUGGU